rnacentral:rRNA from 1 species
GCCCUACGGGUGGCAGCAGGCGAGAAACCUUUGCAAUGUGCGAAAGCACGACAAGGUUAAUCCGAGUGUCUCCUGCUAAAGGAGUCUUUUGUCAGUUGUAGAAUCACUGGUGAAUAAGGGGUGGGCAAGUUCUGGUGUCAGCCGCCGCGGUAAAACCAGCACCUCGAGUGGUCAGGAGGUUUAUUGGGCCUAAAGCAUCCGUAGCCGGUUGCAUAAGUUUUCGGUUAAAUCUAUGCGCUCAACGUAUAGGCCGCCGAAAAUACUGUGCAGCUAGGGAGUGGGAGAGGUACACGGUACUCAAUAGGAAGGGGUAAAAUCCUUUGAUCUAUUGAUGACCACCUGUGGCGAAGGCGGUGUACCAGAACACGUUCGACGGUGAGGGAUGAAAGCUGGGGGAGCAAACCGGAUUAGAUACCCUAGUAGUC